rnacentral:sRNA from 1 species
GGCCUAUGGAAAGUACACAAUUUGAUUUAAUAUGCAUCCUUUCAAGAUGCUGUAACAAGUCAACAACACUGUUUGGGUUGGGGAUGCAAGUUAUGUACACCAAAAAAAGAAUCAAUCGACUACUAUGUUGUAACAAAAACUCAAAAUCAUAAACAAGAAACAUCUUUUUUUGUAAUGUUCUACGGUUCAUGUACAUCACAGAGGGGGAAAAACUGAAAGUCUGAGACCCAGUGCAAGCUUUGUUUGAGGCUGCUAGGUCAGAUCCUCGACAUCGGACGAUUCCUCGUUGGUGGUGUCCAUCUCAUCUUUUGUGGUGGUGUUUUUCAGCUCUUCUUUGGUGCUGUUCAGCUCCUCUUCUUUGGUAGAGUUCGCCUCUCUCCGCGAAAGUUCCCAUAGUAGCUGUUCGAUUCCUAGGCGCCUCAGCUCGCGUAUACCCAUAUCAACAUCUACAGCAUCAUGUGAGGUGGGCUGCUGCCCAUGUCGAUCAAUCCACAUCUGCAACCGCUCCUCAGCAAUAUCAUCUUCCACGUUAUGGGUUUUAGCCCUUCUCCAGAAAUAUACGAGCCAUGCCUGCUUGAACAAUACAUCUUCCUCUUCCUCCUUGCUGAGAUCAAAUGCUUCAGUGAAUUUUUCAUCACCAGAUGAUUUAAUAUCUGGGUCUACUAGUUCAGCAACAUUAGGACGAUGAUGAUGGGCAAGAGCAAUAAGAACAGCAUCCUCAACCUUCAAGAAAGCUAGUUCUUGAAGCCCUUUAUCAACAGAAAGCAUGGUUUCUAUGUUGCCUUCUCCAGCUGUUACUGUCAACUCAUGAACAAACCUUUCUGUGUCUUCCAAAUCAUCACCACUACGAAGAGAUCCAUCCUUAGCUCUCUGUCCAGCAGCUGUUACAUACUCAAAGGGAAGAGGAGCAAAUGAAGACCAGUAUUCAUGUUUUGACAUGGAAAUAUCAGGAUAGAUGCCAUAUUGAACAGCCAAGCCCCAAUAACGAGCAAGCCAACACCUCUUCAUAACAACUUCUUCCAUUUCUUCCUUGCUCAAGAUCAUCCUGUGUGUCAUCGUGCGUAAAUAUUUUGUUUCAGACUCUGCUUCUUGGAGUUUCUGAACAGCAGCAGCCUCCUUUUCUCUUGCAGACUGCAGCUGUUUUUGAAGAGUGGCAAUUUCCUCGCUUUUAUCAUUCUUCGAUAUAAGUGCUUUUCUUAUUUCUUGCUCCUUUCUUACGAGCAUCUCCUCCCUCCUUUUCAUAAGCUUAACUUCCAUAGAUAACCCAUCACCGAGAUUAGCAACCUGUUUCUCGAGCUCCCUUGUCCGGGCUUCAGAUUGUCUAAAUCUCUCUUCAGCUAGUCCAAGCUUCUCCAAAAGGUUUACAUUUUCAUCUUUUAGCAUCUCAAGCUCUUCUGUUAUUGUUGAACUGUCAUGUGAGUCUCGUGACCGUGUCGACUGAGCAAAAGUGGGAUCUGGAUAGAUUGCCCUUCUUUCCCGAGGGGUCCCAUUUGGCAUUUCCACCGCUUGUAGAGGUCUGAUAUUAACCCCAACAGGUGGUGCAAAAGUUGACCUUCCAGUUGAUGGAGGGCGAUUUGCUGCACCAGUGUCCACACCAUUCCGACCUAACUUAGGCAAAGCGAAGCCGAAGUACUUGUCCUUCACGCCGCCGCCGCCGCCGCCGCCGCCGUUCAUGGGGCUCCGGCCGCCGUACACGCCGCCGUUGAGCGGGCUCCGGCCACCAUCGUACCUCCCGCCUCCGCCGCCGCCGACGACGUCGUCGUCGUCGUCGUAGCCGUCCUCGCUCGCGCCGCGCGAGGAGGCCGGCGGCGGCGGGCGCGCCAUGGCCUGCGCCAGCGCGGCGGCGGCGCGCGCCUUGUUCCGCGCGGCGAGCGGGUGGACGGGCGACGCCGCCCCCGCCGCCGCCGGGUGGGCCGGCGACGCCGGCGCCGAGUAGAUCCCCGCCGCCGGCGAGCGCCGCCUGCCGUACGUCGGGCUCCCGGCCCGCCGCCAGUCCAUCAUGCCCGGCCCCCCGUGCGCGCGGCGCUAGCCUCGCCGGCCGGCGGCGUGUCGCGGCGCAGGGUGGCGCGCGGGGUGCGAUUCGCGUGGCUGAUCGAGAUCGAUGUGGGG